CAACUUUCAACAACGGAUCUCUUGGCUCUCGCAUCGAUGAAGAACGCAGCGAAAUGCGAUAAGUAAUGUGAAUUGCAGAAUUCAGUGAAUCAUCGAAUCUUUGAACGCAAAUUGCGCUCUUUGGUAUUCCGAAGAGCAUGCCUGUUUGAGUGUCAU
rnacentral:rRNA from 1 species